CCCGCACAAGCGGUGGAGCAUGUGGUUUAAUUCGACGCAACGCGAAGAACCUUACCGGGCUUGACAUCCCCUGACCGCGUAUGAAAGUACGUUUUCACCCUCGGGUGACAGGGAGACAGGUGGUGCAUGGUUGUCGUCAGCUCGUGUCGUGAGAUGUUGGGUUAAGUCCCGCAACGAGCGCAACCCCUACGUUUAGUUGCUAACGCGUGAAGGCGAGCACUCUAGACGAACUGCCGUUGACAAAACGGAGGAAGGUGGGGAUGACGUCAAAUCAUCAUGCCCCUUAUGUUCUGGGCUACACACGUGCUACAAUGGCCGGUACAGACGGACGCAAAGCCGCGAGGUGGAGCAAAUCCUAAAAAGCCGGUCUCAGUUCGGAUUGCAGGCUGCAAUUCGCCUGCAUGAAGUCGGAAUCGCUAGUAAUCGCAGGUCAGCAUACUGCGGUGAAUACGUUCCCGGGCCUU
rnacentral:rRNA from 1 species